rnacentral:rRNA from 1 species
GACGAAGGGGGCUAGCGUUGUUCGGAAUUACUGGGGGUAAAGCGCGUGUAGGCGGCUUGGCAAGUCGGGUGUGAAAGCCCCGGGCUCAACCUGGGAAGUGCACUCGAAACUGCUUGGCUUGAGUACUGGAGAGGGAAGCGGAAUUCUCGGUGUAGCGGUGAAAUGCGUAGAUAUCUGGAGGAACACCGGUGGCGAAGGCGGCAUCCUGGACCGGUAUUGACGCUGAGGCGCGAAAGCCAGGGGAGCAAACGGG